rnacentral:rRNA from 1 species
UACGUAGGGGGCAAGCGUUGUCCGGAUUUAUUGGGCGUAAAGAGCGUGUAGGCGGCCAAACAGGUCAGCUGUGAAAACUCGAGGCUCAACCUCGAGACGUCGGUUGAAACCGUUUGGCUAGAGUCCGGAAGAGGAGAGUGGAAUUCCCGGUGUAGCGGUGAAAUGCGCAGAUAUCGGGAAGAACACCCGUGGCGAAGGCGGCUACCUGGACCAGCACUGACACUGAGGCACGAAAGCGUGGGGAGCAAACAGG